UUUAGCACAGGAGCUACUCUACGGAUGGUUCUUCAGUCUUUGCUAAAAUAACUCCUCAGGCUUUUAUAGUACACGGAUAUAAUGGCAGCAUCAUGAAAAACACCAGCAAGUAGGGUGUAUAUUACCAAGGAGACAUCCUGGCAUGCAGAAGCUGAUUCACUCCAUGGAUUAUGGACCAGGUGAGAAGGAUGCUUGACUACCUUAAUCUUGUGGGCUAUGGCCUGUGGGCUGGUUUUGGCUGGGGUUCUACAGGUGGAACGGCUACAGCCUUCUGCUCAGUCUGCGAGGAGCCUUUGUUAUCUCCGCAGCGAGUUUUGGACUCUGACAGUUUUUGAAGAAGAAAAAAAGAGGCAAGGACAGUGGCUCUUUGUGUCUCUCAAAGGCAGCACUGUUUCUGUGGGCUGGCACAGCCCACGGACAACGUGCUGCCCUUCAUGCGGGAUUGUUUUACUGCCCCGACGCAUGGACUGCCCGGUGCCAGCCUUCAUGUAGGAGAGAAAGGCUGGAUGCCCCCUGCGAUGCCAGGACAACUCACAGAGCAGCAAAUGGAGAUCACUUUCUGAUGGUGACUGUCAACAAUCCCUCCUCAUCCUCUCUUCGAGUCCCUGGGGAGCAAGUUUCAGGGCGUGCUUCCUGUUACCUGACUCACUUCAGGCUCCUGUCGCCUAGAGGUCAAUGGUGGUCUUGACCUUAGAAGCAUUUUUGAAGACCAGCUCUGUGCCACCCACUGCACCGGGUGCUGAGAUACCAAGAGAAAACAUUCCAGUCUUCACAGAGCUUCUAGAUUGGAAAAUUGAGGAAAGAGUGGUUGACCAAGUUUGCAAAGCCAGGAUUCAAUUUAGCUAGGAUUUGGACCUUGGCCAUGUGAGAGCAGAACUUGAUGCCUUAACUGCUGUUCUAUUUUGACUCACCAUAAAAGAUAAUGGAGUACUUUCCUUCUUGUUGCUGCUAAAUACAACUGAAAACCUGGACAGUAUAUAGAAAACAAACAUAAGAAGACUACAUGACAAGAUAUUCUGUGUCAGUAGAUAUUAGGGAAAUGCAAAUUAAAACCACAAUGAGCUCUUACUACACACUUAUCAGAAUGGCUACAAUAAAAAAUAAUGAUAACACCAAAUGCUGGCAAAGAUGUGAAGAAACUUGAUCACUC
ensembl:lncRNA